UUAGUUGAAACCAAAAUAGAGGUACUUUAUUGUUAAUAAAAUAAUUGAAUAAAAUUCCAAUUAAG
rnacentral:tRNA from 1 species